CUAAAACAGUCGGCCUGGUUGAUUUCUGGGAGGGCCUCUCUCCUUGGCAUGUAGAAGUGGCCUUGGGGAGAAGGCGGGGCCGGCCAGGGUUUCUACUCCUGCCUCAUGGAGACCCGCCUCAGAUGCCCAGCACUGCGACUGCUGCACAGCCACGAGGCUGAGCCGCUGCGGAUGCAUGCGUGACUUAGGAAUGUGUGCUGGUGUGUUUGCCACAGCAACAGGAUGAGGAAAGCACAGCUCCAAGAGAGGUGGGAGCUCAUCCACCUGGGGAAGCAUGAGCAGGAGCAGGAAGGGUCACUCUGGGACUGUGCUCAUGGGACCCUGAGAUGCAGCAGAAAGAGCAGUGUGAGGAGCAAAGUGACGCUGCCUGCAG
ensembl:lncRNA NTM-IT NTM intronic transcript